rnacentral:rRNA from 1 species
GACAGAGGCCACGAACGUUGUUCGGAAUUACUGGGCGUAAAGCGCACGUAGGCGGAUAUUUAAGUCAGGGGUGAAAUCCCAGAGCUCAACUCUGGAACUGCCUUUGAUACUGGGUAUCUCGAGUAUGGAAGAGGUGAGUGGAAUUCCGAGUGUAGAGGUGAAAUUCGUAGAUAUUCGGAGGAACACCAGUGGCGAAGGCGGCUCACUGGUCCAUUACUGACGCUGAGGUGCGAAAGCGUGGGGAGCAAACAGG